UCCCAUCACUGAUUGAACUUUUUGGAAUAGGCCCGCGGGCUCCUUAUAUGGUCCUUGCGGGUACCAGGGAGAUAACCCCUGAUCUAGAGUGUGAAUUGAAGCUCUCUAAAACAUGUAAAUGGCAAAUCAGUGGAAGUGCACCUACUCUAUGUUUUUAAGUGAGGAAAAAGCUGAGUAAAAUGUAUUUAUAGCUUUGGAAACGGGUUCUAACUUUGUUUGUGUCUCUUUCUGAAGGACACAAAGUCUGUGCAAGAGGCUUGUCUGUGACCUGCUCUAACCUUAAGCCACGCAUGCCUUGUGGCAACCUUGAAUUUUAAUCUUUUAUUAAUAACAUCUGCAAAGUUGUUAGGUGUGUUUUAUAUGAAUAGAGUGAGGGUGGGGUUGUUAGUAAGAGCCACAUUAGGCUCACUGAUUCAAAGUGUCCUGUUCAGGCAUGAACAAGACAUUUUAAAUUGCUUAGAACUGCCAUUAACAAACACAAGUUGGUUGUCAAAGGCGGAUCAUUUCAACAGCUUGAUGGCAGCAAGAGACAUGCAAGAGAAGUACAGCAGUUGAAUGGCCACCAGGAAGGAUACCAAUGUGUGUGAUACCAGGAUGGUAGAGGGAGAACAAUCAAAGACACAGCAGGAACGAGAGGAAGAACUUCUCCUUACAGCCUGGAAAAGCAUGGGAGACACCUUUGCUUUCGGAGAGGUGGGUCGCCCCUCCGAACCCGGGCUUUGUAUUUGUCAAUGAAGAAAUCUUCAUAACAGCGCCUCCGAGUGGUCGUCCCAGCUCUUGUCCAGCAGCAGACUCUGCGUGAGGACCCCAAACCUCCAGGCCCGUCCCAGUCCUUCCUUUCCAUGCAGAGGCAAUCAUCCCGCAGGAGGAAGGGAUUGCAACCCCGGUAGAUGCAUCCUUUUUCCUAUUGGUGAGGACGGACAUGUAGAAUGGACAUUUAUGUCCUCAUGGACACCGAAGAAAUCUAGGACGGUCUGUUUUAUUUCAUAGUGUGGUUGAUUUCAUGUGCUGCUAUCCCCCUCUGCUGGCAAAUGAUGUAAUUUAUCUUUCUACGUCUUGUGACGUGAGGUACGCUAUAUUCUAAAAGGCUACUCUAAAAUGUAUCAUAGCAAAUUAUGCAAUAUAACAAUCAAUAUUCCUUGUCCACAGUAUUUUUUAUUCACCUUUAAGUCAUUGGUUGUAAUCUGUAAAAACACACUACUGAAAUAUUUCUACUGUAUGUAACAUGCCUUCUUCAGUGUCAUAAAAUAAGUCUCAUCGCA